rnacentral:rRNA from 1 species
UACGGAGGGUGCAAGCGUUAUCCGGAUUUACUGGGUUUAAAGGGUGCGUAGGUGGGGAGGUAAGUCAGCGGUGAAAUCCCCGAGCUUAACUUGGGAACUGCCAUUGAUACUAUCUCUCUUGAAUAUCUUGGAGGUGAGCGGAAUAUGUCAUGUAGCGGUGAAAUGCUUAGAUAUGACAUAGAACACCAAUUGCGAAGGCAGCUCACUACACGGUAAUUGACACUGAGGCACGAAAGCGUGGGGAUCAAACAGG